rnacentral:rRNA from 1 species
AAUCAAACCCGGAGAUAUCUCGUUCUCCCCGAAAUAGCUUUAGGGCUAGCGUCGCGCGUUCACCGCCGGAGGUAGAGCACCGGAUGGACGAGGGGGCUUCGCCGCCUACCGAAUCCAACCGAACUCCGAAUGCCGGCGGCCCAGAGCGCGGCAGUCAGAGCAUGUGGGCUAAGCUGUGUGCUCGAGAGGGAAACAGCCCGGACCGCCCGCUAAGGUCCCCAAGUUCCAGCCGAGUGGCAAAGGAUGUGCGUCCGCCCAGACAACCAGGAUGUUGGCUUAGAAGCAGCCAUCCAUUCAAAGAGUGCGUAACAGCUCACUGGUCGAGUGGACAUGCGCCGACAAUACACGGGGCUAAGCUGGACACCGAAGCGGCGGGAUUUUAAUUCAUUAGAAUCGGUAGGGGAGCUUCCCAUGGGCGGAGAAGCCGGAGGGCGACCGACGGUGGAGCGCAUGGGAGUGAGAAUGCUGGCAUGAGUAGCGAGAGACGAGAGAGUAACUCGUCCGCCGUGAACCCGAGGUUUCCUGGGCAAGGCUAAUCCUCCCAGGGUCAGUCGGGGGCUAAGGCGAGGCCGGGAGGCGUAGCCGACGCGCAGCAGGCAGACAUUCCUGCACCGCGCACGCGGCGCUACGACCGACGGGGCGACGGAUGGGGGUGGCUCGGCGGGGUUCUGGACGUCCCCGUGAUGGAGCGCGGCCCGCGGACCAGGGAAAUCCGGUCCGCAUCGAGGGCGAGGCUCCGGACGAAGCGAUUGAGCGAAGCGAGUGAGCCCGAGGUCCCUAGAAAAACCCCUAGGCAGGCGCGUGCGCGCCCGUACCGCAAACCGACACAGGUGGGUGGGUAGAACAUACCGAGGCGAUCGGGUCAACCAUGGUCAAGGAACUCGGCACAAUGGCCCCGUAACUUCGGGAGAAGGGGUGCCCGCGCGUACGUGAACGGACUUGCUCCGGGAGCGGAGGCGGGCCGCAGUGGAGAGGCCCAAGCGACUGUUUACCAAAAACACAGGACUCUGCAGAAGCCGCAAGGCGACGUAUAGGGUCUGACGCCUGCCCGGUGCCGGAAGGUCACGCGGAGGAGUUAGCGCAUCGCGCGAAGCCCCGAAGCCAAGCCCCGGUAAACGGCGGCCGUAACUAUAACGGUCCUAAGGUAGCGAAAUUCCUUGUCGGGUAAGUUCCGACCUGCACGAAAGGCGCAACGACUUGGGCGCUGUCUCGACCAUGGACCCGGUGAAAUUGCACUGGUCGUGAAGAUGCGACUUACCCGCGGAAGGACGGAAAGACCCCGUGAACCUUCACUGCAGCUUGGCAUUGGCCGCUGGUCCCGCGUGUAGAGGAUAGGCAGGAGGCACAGAUCCGGAGGCGCCAGCCACCGGGGAGCCGCCCUUGGAAUACUGCCCUCGCGCGACCGGCGUCCUAACCCGAGGCCGUCAACCGGCUCGGGGACCGUGCCAGGCGGGCAGUUUGACUGGGGCGGUCGCCUCCUAAAGGGUAACGGAGGCGCGCGAAGGUCCGCUCGGGACGGUCGGCAACCGUCCUUUUGAAUGCAAGAGUACAAGCGGGCUUGACUGCGAGGCCCACAAGCCGAGCAGGUGCGAAAGCAGGCUCUAGUGAUCCGGCGGCCCCGAGUGGGUGGGCCGUCGCUCAACGGAUAAAAGGUACUCCGGGGAUAACAGGCUGAUCUUGCCCAAGAGUCCACAUCGACGGCAAGGUUUGGCACCUCGAUGUCGGCUCAUCGCAUCCUGGGGCUGGAGCAGGUCCCAAGGGUACGGCUGUUCGCCGUUUAAAGCGGUACGCGAGCUGGGUUCAGAACGUCGUGAGACAGUUCGGUCCCUAUCCUCCGUGGGCGCAGGAGAAUCGAUGGAGGCUGCCCCCAGUACGAGAGGACCGGGGUGGACGCACCUCCGGUGAACCGGUUGUCGACCAACGGCACGGCCGGGUAGCCGCGUGCGGCGCGGAUAACCGCUGAAGGCAUCUAAGCGGGAAGCCGUUCCAGGGAUUAGUUCUCCUUCCGGUAAGGGCCCAGGUAGACUACCUGGUCGAUAGACGGCAGGUGCAAGGCUGGCGACAGCCUCAGCCGAGCCGCACUAAUCGCCCGAGCUCUUCCGGA